UUUCCGUAGGUGAACCUGCGGAAGGAUCAGGACAGUAUUCUAUUGCAGCGCUUAAUUGCGCGGCGAUAAACCUUUACACACUUUGUUUUUUAUUAAUUUAAAGACACCAUUGCUUUGGUGGGAUUAGGGUAAAACCUAUUUGCACCAAAGGAUUAACUAAACACAAAUUUUUAAAUAUUUAAUUUUAUUAAUAGUCAAUGAAAAUUUGUCUGAUUAAUUUCAGAGCAAAACAAAUAUUCAAAACUUUCAACAACGGAUCUCUUGGUUCUCGCAUCGAUGAAGAACGCAGCGAAUUGCGAUAAGUAUUGUGAAUUGCAGAAUUUCGUGAAUCAUCGAAUCUUUGAACGCACAUUGCACCCUGUGGUAUUCCACAGGGUAUGCCUGUUUGAGCGUCAUUUCUCUCUCAAAACAAUUUAUUUUGUUUUGGUGUUGAGUGAUACUCGGGCUCCAAACUUGAGUUUGCUUGAAAAGUAUUGGCAAGGAAGAGUGAUUCCACAGCAGUUUAUUUAUUCAAUGUAUUAGGUUUAUCCAACUCGUUGAUUGAUAGGCUUGUAGUGGGGACAUUUAUUAAAUUCCGGCCUUACAACUAUAGAAAACCAAAGUUUGACCUCAAAUCAGGUAGGAUUACCCGCUGAACUUAAGCAUAUCAAUAAGCGG
rnacentral:rRNA from 1 species